rfam:Streptacidiphilus jiangxiensis strain CGMCC 4.1857 genome assembly, contig: Ga0104467_103
GCGCUCGUAGCUCAACGGAUAGAGCAUUUGACUACGGAUCAAAAGGUUGCAGGUUCGAAUCCUGCCGAGCGCA